CACAGGUUUGGUCCUGCUGGAGUUCUUCCAAAGUGUGCAAACUGUACUUCAGCUAAAGAAGUCUGUAGGGAGCACAUAGAGCAGAUGAACAGCAAGUGCUUCGGGACUGCGCUUGACAAGACUCUGGCAGGUGGGAAGCCCAAAAGCAAAGCAGGCAUUUGAAGGCGCUAUUUGGGAGCAAAUAUUUAACAUACCAGGGGAUUGGGAAGUAAUGUUGAUUUCUCAUUAUGAUUCCCAUUUUCUUGUCAUCUCUAGAAGGGGGCGCUUAUGACUCCAAAUAAUACAAAGAAUCCACCACUAUCAAAUCUUAACGGUUGCAAGAUCCGAACUUGGUGCUUUUAAACAGCUGUCAGGAGGAAAGGCAAAAACGGUUAUUAACAAACCAGUACCAUCUUUACUAAACUGAAAUACUGACUGCGUUCGUUUUGGCUCAGGUUGUUCUUGGAAGCUUUAAAAACAUCCCAGUGAGAGUCUUUCAUUUUUGUUAGUGCAGAUGAUUUUCUGUUGGCUUUUGCUUAACUUCAGCUGAGUUUUAUGCAAAUGCAUCACAGACAGGGGCUUAAAAUAGCCAGAUGGUCAUUGCAAAGUGUUCAGACUUGUACUUCCCCUUUCCCUCACCCUUCUCACAUGCUGCGAUCCCCGGUACUAUGGAAUUGGGACUGACAGAAACUAUGAAGAAGUCUUGGUCACAAAAUCUCCAUGGUAGAAGAGUAUAUCCAUUGAAAGAGGCCUUAAUUCUCAUGUAUCGUAAGGUUGACUCAAUGAUUCAUGAGCUACUCUUAUCCAGAGGAAAAAAAAAUACAACGUGGAUACCUUUAAAUCCAUUUCUUAAGAACUGUGAAAUUGUGUUCAGAAUAUGGGGCACCAAGACCUGAAAGUGCACAUGACUGCUAUGGAUUGGGGGCUGAGGAUUUGGUGAGUCUAUGUUAAUAUGUGAAUUAAUUAGUGAAAGAUGGUACAGUGAACCCAUAAACUAGAAAAAUACAAUAAAUAUAUUUUAUCAGCACCUGCUUGUGGUUGUUGUAUUAGAAAAAAGAAAUUGACUGCUUGGAAAGUUAGACUGGGUACAGUUAAGAGACAUAUAUGGUAGGAAUCUGAGAAUCACUUCCACAUCCAUUUUCUGCCAAGUUUAACAUACCUAAAGUUCCCAUAGAGGAGGAAAAAGUCUCCUAAGAUGAUUUGAUAAUGCAAUUCUCUCAGGAGGUUUGGUGAUUGGGGUUGUAAUGAUUGUGACUGUCAAAGUUGUAGGGCACUUCUGCUAGGAUGUGAACUGUCACUCUGUCCAUUUAAAUCCUGUACAUCAAGAAAAAUCUCUUCGUCAUGCAAGUCUUGGGUUGAAUGCUCUCCCUCACAUGCAAGUCCCUUUCAAAGCUCCGCUGCCCUUACCAAAUAUGUGUAGUCUCCUCUCCAUACAGCUCAGGUGCUCAGUGCUCCAGUCUGUCCCCAUAAGUCAGGGCUUCUAAUUCCCCUACCAUCCUUUUUUGAGUGAUUGGGAAGACUGAUCAUCGAAAUUUCCUGUCUCCUCUUGUGACUUCCAGGGAAAAUCCUAUAGCAGUUUAUCUUGGUUGAGAUUAUUCAUUCUAGCAUGUAUUUCUGGACUUGUUUCUCUCUCUUUCUCUCUCACUCUCUUUUGCCUCAGCACCUACAUGAACAGUCUUUACUUCAACCUGUACAGAGAGUAGACUUUAGAGUUUUCCUACCUCCUGGUGUUUUCUUCGACCUCCUCUCCUUCCCAGAAGUCUUACAGGUUCUCCUUUAAGAUUGUCAACAAAAACAAGUUGAUUAGCCCUUUCUCUCACUCCCAAGUGUUACUUGUCUUCCCUGGAAAAUGGGCAGCUGUCGUUUCUUUCAGAAUUCCCUAAUUCCUUUUCUUGAAAAAGUUAAAAUUCUUAGUAAAUGAUCCUCUUUCUCCUACAACCAAACCACCAGUCCAGCCAACCAAACAAAACACCUUCACCGGGGUAUCUCAUAACUUCCUCCUCAUUUGAGACAUAUUAGUUCAAAUAAUACUUUGUAUGUGUUGAACUGCCUAGUUUUAAAAUUUCUUGACUACAGAAAUUAAACCAUAUAAUUAUUUGCUUUAUUUGUGUGAUCGUAACUAUUUGUUUUAGAACAGCAUGAGUGUAAAAAAAGUCUCUGUAUUUUUUGUUUGUUUGUUUGUCUUGGUUUUGUUUUUUAUGAAAACACACGACCUGGCUAGACUCAGGUACCAAAGCUAUAGAGAACUGAUGAAAUGAGAGUAAGCAACACACAUCUGUGUCCUCUAAAAGUUACAGAGCUCUCCUUGAACUGUGAUUCUGGAUGAAUAUGUAAACACACUAUGUCAGCGUAACUCAGUCAAGCUAUUAUAUUGUAUAAGGUAAGAUGAGAGAAUUUCAUAGGAGACAAUUUCCACAUUAUUUCAAGUAAAAUAUUUACCUUCUCUUCUUAAUUCCUCACACUACACAUAACUUCUCUUGAACUAUAUAGCUUUCGGUACUACUGAAAGAAAGCAAAAUUCCCUUUUAAUCAUGAUCAUAUUUCCUCUCUCUAGGCUUCCAACAAGACAGACUUUCUUUUCUAUAAAGAUGUUUAAAUCCUCAAAAUGUCCUUUGUGCCUCUGGUUUCUUAAUUUCCAAAGUGGUCUUUACAGACUAAAAGACACUCUGUUAUUUAGCAAUAACAUAGAUGCUAACCAUAAUAAGAUGUAGUUGAGAGCUGACAAAGCAUUCUGGGUAAUGGUAUAAAAAUUAGCACAUUAAGCAUUUUUUAUACUUGCAUUCUGAUUAAAGCUUAUAGAGUAAAUCAGUGGUGCUCCUCGUCAUUAAAUUGAGGCUACUAAUAAAAUGAUAAAUUGAAAAGAAAAAGAAAAAUCGUUAAUAGUGCUUGAUGGUGUGAUUUCUCAUACAUAACCAGUUCAUUGCCAAAGAGGUGUAAUAAAAGUCCUACCAUUUGUGCUGGGAGAGUGAAAAACUUGAGUUAUAAGCAAUUAAAUAAAUUCCAGUUUAAAAUAAGUAUACCAGCAAGUUGCAUAUUUACAUGCCUGUUAUUUUUCAUGACAUGAUUAGAAAAGAGAAAAGAAAUAUUUUAUGUUUAUUUCUGAUGCAAUAGUAGCAUCUGCUCUUACUGCUGCUCUAUGUUUAUAGAAUUUCUUUCUGAUAUCUAUUUACUCCUGGGCAUUUCAAUCAUUUUGAGGAAAAUAAGCGUUUGGCUUCCCCCCAUCUCUCCCAUAUGAUGCUUGAAUGAAUUGUAUAUGAAAAAAAAAAGUUAGUUUUAUUUAAGAACUUAUUUUUAGCAAAUUAUACUUUUCACAAAAAUUACUUUUAGAGAAUAGAUGCAGUUACCAAUUAUUGGUCAUAUUUAGUAGGUACUUUGUUUUUUUUUUUUUAAUUUUUUUUAAAUUUAUUAUUAUUUAUUUUUAUGAUAGUCACAGAGAGAGAGAGAGAGAGGCAGAGACACAGGCAGAGGGAGAAGCAGGCUCCAUGCACCGGGAGCCCGUUGUGGGAUUCGAUCCCAGGUCUCCAGGAUCGCGCCCUGGGCCAAAGGCAGGCGCCAAACCGCUGUGCCACCCAGGGAUCCCUAGUAGGUACUUUGUAUUUGAUUUCUUUCUCAAGAACUUUCAUAUUUUAAAAUCUCAUCUCCAAUCCACAUAAUUUGACUUUUAAUACCACUUGCUCUGCAUUCUUAAAAGUUAUUGAAGGAUAAUGAUGAUUAUGGAGCCUAUAUUUAACCUAUCUGGAUGCAUUUCAAUGUCAUCAUCUGCACUCAGUAUAGACUCUAACUGGGUUUAUUAAAAAACAAACAGACAAAACCUUGCUGAGAUACUCUGUUCCAGCCAGGGUUUAACGCUUCCAUGCAUGUAUAUUUCUUUGCCUGUAGUAGCUACUUCUCUACACAUUCAUGACCUUUACUGCCUUUAAGCACUGAUUGGAUAUCACCUCCUCUGUGAGGUCUUUUCUGAGCAACCGUUUUUCCUCAGCGUAUUCACUUAACAUCCCAUUAACAUUUAGGCAUAUAAUUUCAUAAGACCAUUAAUUGAUUAUGUUCAUGUUUCUUGCACAUAUUCAUUGGGCUUUAUCUUGUGUUAGUCCUGUUAUUUUCAUUAGGAAUAUGGAUUUUCAGAUAUUGUAUGACAAUAAGUUUUGAGGAAUCAGUGGUUUACCCCCCAGAUCUUCUACCUACUGAUCCAUAAGUCAUUAUUUUUUCUGUAAUUAGUGUCUUGGAUGCUGUCAUAAUUUUUUAUUAGAAGUAUUAAGCUUGGGAUCCCUGGGUGGCGGUGCAGGUUAGCGCCUGCCUCUGGCCCAGGGUGUGAUCCUGGAGACCCGGGAUCGAAUCCCACAUCGGGCUCUCGGUGCAUGGAGCCUGCUUCUCCCUCUGCCUGUGUCUCUGCCUCUCUCUCUUUCUCUCUCUGUGACUAUCAUAAAUAAAUAAAAAUUCAAAAAAAAAAAAAAAGAAGUAUUAAGCUUGAGGGGUGCCUGGGUAGCUCAGAAGGCUAAACGUCUGACUCUUGAUUUUGGCUCAGGUCUUGAUAUUAGGGUCAUGAGUUUGAGCUCCACAUCGGGCUCUGUGCUCAGCAGGGAAGUCUGCUCUGCUUAAGAUUCUCUAACCCCUUCUCCUUCUGCCUCAUUCCCUGCAAACACUUUCUCUAAAAUAAGUAAAUAAAUAAAUAUUUUUUAAAAUUAUGAAUCUUGAAGGAUUCCAUAUGGAAUUUAGCAUAUAUGUUUUAUAUACUCUGCCUUAAGUAGCUUGUCUCAUAUCCUAAAAGAUAUGUAUGUUGACAUGAAGUAGAAAUUCGAAAAGUGAAUACUUCAUAAGUAUUUUAUAAUACUUAAAUGCCUA
rnacentral:lncRNA from 1 species